rnacentral:rRNA from 1 species
CGGGGGGGGCAAGCGUUGUUCGGAAUUACUGGGCGUAAAGGGCUUGUAGGCGGCCAACUAAGUCAAACGUGAAAUCCCUCGGCUUAACCGGGGAACUGCGCUUGAUACUGGAUGGCUUGAGAUUGGGAGAGGGAUGCGGAAUUCCAGGUGUAGCGGUGAAAUGCGUAGAUAUCUGGAGGAACACCGGUGGCGAAGGCGGCAUCCUGGACCAACACUGACGCUGAGGAGCGAAAGCCAGGGGAGCAAACGGGAUUAGAUACCCCGGUAGUCCUGGCCCUAAACGAUGAAUGCUUGGUGUGGCGGGUAUCGAUCCCUGCCGUGCCGAAGCUAACGCAUUAAGCAUUCCGCCUGGGGAGUACGGUCGCAAGGCUG